rnacentral:rRNA from 1 species
ACCUAACAGCUAGCCUAACCAACCUAAAAUUAUAUAAUUAAACUAAAAACUUACAAUAUAAAAAUAAACCAUUUUCCUACUCCCCUAGUAUGAGAGACAAAAAAGGACCUAAGAGCUAUAGAUAAAGUACCGCAAGGGAACGCUGAAAAAGAAAUGAAAUAAACUAUUUAAGUAACAAAUAGCAGAGCUAACCUCUCGUACCUUUUGCAUCAUGAUUUAGCAAGUAUAAUACAAGCAAAGAGCCCUUUAGUUUGUAACCCCGAAACUGAGCGAGCUACUCCAAGACAGCCUUUAAGGGCAAACCCGUCUCUGUGGCAAAAGAGUGGGAAGAGCUUUGAGUAGAGGUGAUAAAUCUAUCGAGCCCAGUAAUAGCUGGUUGCCUGAGAAAUGAAUAGAAGUUCAGCCCUAUAAUCUUUCCCACCCCAUCCUCCACCUACUACAGGAUAAAGGAAGAUAUAAGAGUUAGUCAAAAGGGGGACAGCCCUUUUGAUCUAAGAAACAACUUUAACAGGUGAAACAGGAUCAUAAUAAUCAAGGACUAAGAUCUAAGUGGGCUUAAAAGCAGCCAUCUUAAGAGAAAGCGUUAAAGCUCCGACUAAUACUCCCCCUUUUAUACUGAUACCCAAUCCUCUCCCCUACCACAUACCAGGCCCUCUUAUGCCCCCAUAAGAAUGAUAAUGCUAAAAUGAGUAAUAAGAAGAAACUUUCUUCUCCUAACAUGUGUGCAACUCGGAUUGGACCCCCCGCCGACUACUAUACGACCCCAACCCAAGAGGGACAUAAGCUGAAUACACAAGAAAAACACUUAACAAAAAUCGUUAACCCCACACAGGAAUGUAUUAAGGAAAGACUAAAAGAGCGGGAAGGAACUCGGCAAAUACAAGCCUCGCCUGUUUACCAAAAACAUCGCCUCUUGACUCCCAAAUAUAAGAGGUCUCGCCUGCCCACUGACUAUAUGUUUAAUGGCCGUGGUAUCUUAACCACGCGAAGGUAGCGUAAUCAUUUGUCUUUUAAAUGAAGACCUGUAUGAAUGGCAAAACGAGGGCUUAACUGUCUCCCCCCUCCAGUCAAUGAAAUUGACCUCCCCGUGCAGAGGCGGGGAUUAACCUAUAAGACGAGAAGACCCUGUGGAGCUUUAGACCUAUAUUAAACUUACCUAACAAGUUCGAGUAUGAGCCAGACCCUAGUAAAAAUUAAUGAAGUGUCUUUGGUUGGGGUGACCAUGGGGCAACAUAAAACCCCCACGAAGAUAGGAAAUUACUUCCCAGCACUUAGAGCCACCCCUCCAAGUAACAAAACCUUUGACUUUAAAAAUGAUCCGGCUCAGCCGAAUAACGAACCCAGUUACCCCAGGGAUAACAGCGCAAUCCCCUUCCAGAGCUCCUAUCGACAAGGGGGUUUACGACCUCGAUGUUGGAUCAGGACAUCCUAAUGGUGCAGCCGCUAUUAAGGGUUCGUUUGUUCAACGAUUAAUAGUCCUACGCGAUCUGAGUUCAGACCGGAGUAAUCCAGGUCAGUUUCUAUCUAUAAAGAGCCUAUUCCCAGUACGAAAGGACCUGAAAAGGAGGGCCAAUGCUCCAUGCACGCCCUCUCCCCCACCGCUGAAAUCCAAUAAAACGGGUAAGGGAACUCAUAAUUAACCCGGAGACUCCGGAAA